rnacentral:lncRNA from 1 species
ACCACGGCUGUGUGUUUCCAUCUGCGUUCGUGUGUGUGUGUAUGUGCGUGCGUGUGCGUGUGUCUGGGGCUGCUGUUGUUGCUGCUGCUGCUGCGGCUGCUGCUACCACUUGCCUCCGUCUCCUCCCGUCUCUGGCCUAAUCAACAAAACAGCCUCAGCUGCCCCUUCGGAUCCCCUGCCAGGGUCCCUAUCAUCCUCUGAUCAAAUAUUAAUGUGUGAUACUGAGCUUGCUCACUAAUCCAAAGCCAAUUAAUAUUAUCUGUCAAUUAUUUACAGAUCCUGAGGUGCGGAGGCAGAUCCCCGAGGACUACAUCGGCCAGGUUCAGAAUACGAAAUUGAGCCCCCCCCUCAACACGCACACACACACACACACCUUGGCCCCUUUAUUCUUUCUUCCUCUCUCCCCCCCUUUCUGCAUUUUCCUCUCUUUUUUCCUCUCUUUUCAUCCCCUCCUUCCUUUUUUGUUUAUGUGUGUCUUUUAAAGCCUAAAUGGUUGUCUUUUCAGCAGUUCAGGGCAAGCGGCGCAGGAUGCUGCUCGGGCAUUAGCAUUGCUGAUAUAUCUGACAUAGGAGGAUGUGUGGGGGGAUUUUCUCUCUGCUAGGGCUUUGUGUCUGAAUCUCACUCAUACAGUGCAGUCAGGGAAUACUGUUAUUAGUUUUUAUCACUGAUGCGCAACAACAUGACAUAUGUUUCAAAUCCCUGCGCCUAGUGAUUCGGAUUGUUAGCUGCGAUCACUUCCAUUGUUAUUCCGAUAGACGCUGAAUUUGCUUUCGCUUUACAUUUUCAUUCUUGGAGGCAGCCUUGCAAGGGUUAGCGCGGGUUGACUAACACACACAUACACACAGAGAGUGACACACUCCAGUAAUCAGUCAUCACUGUUUAUCACAGGCUGUUUUUGUCCUUUACUUUCUGUCUCACUUAUUUGAUGGCUGAGAGAAGCGGCGGCUCGGUGGUAAUGGAGUUUUCACCCUCAGAAGUCUUUAUUCCACACAGAACAGAGACUCGGCUGCAGCCUCGGCCUCUUGUAGCUCAUGGAGCUGUCUGUGCAGGGGGUGGUGGGUGGGCCCGUGGGGGUCUUGGGUGGGGGGGGUGGAGGGGGGUUGGAGGGGCUGGAGCUGGAGCUGGUGGUGGUGGUGUUUUGGGCGGGGGUGGAGAAAAGACCGGCAUCUGAGAGGGAAUAAUGACGGCCGGUGGUUUGGAUCCCUUGAGCCACAAAGCUAGCUCUUCUCCCUCUACAGAAGGGGAGAAUAAAGGCCGCAGAAGAAAGGCAGGAUGAAAGCAGGGGGAGUCGUUUCUGACAGCAAAUUUGUGCUGCAACUAAACUCCUACCACCUCCCAUAAUGCACUUUGACCUGCCAGGACCCCUAAUUGGCUGGCUAUGGGAGGAGUUGCUAAAUAUCAAGACAUCAGUCCACUUCUAUGUCUUCCAAUUUCCCAAACUAGUCGGCCCUGGGAUGUGAUGCGCAUGUGGUGUUUGUCGGCUCACUUGUACCAUAUAUGUUUCACUAACUAGCUCUUCUACUUUCAGUUCUGCCUUCAUCACAUCUUUGUCCGCUGGUCUUUCUAAUAAGGAGAGAUGAGUUGUUUUGCCAGUGUUAUUCCCCCCCACCAAAUGUGAGCGGGAAAGAUGGCUUCCUCUCGUUAGCUGUGCCUUCACUGCUCAGAUCUCACCGUUUGUGGGAGCAGAGUAAUCUGAUAUGUAAAUAUAGUGUUUGAUCCAAAGCGAUAGUCUAACGAGCAAAAAUCUCUACUUUUCCCCGCCUUUCCUGCACUAGUAAUUAAAACAAAGCCUGUUUGGGCUUUUCUCCUCCAUCUCCCGUCUUUUCUGUCUGUCUCUUCCUCGUCUUUCCGCCUCACUUUCCUCUCCUCUCACUCUCAUGUUUUCUGCCUCUCUGUGUCUCCUCUUUGACACAAGCGCAGCGCAGUCUUGAUUUUUACACGUUUCAUCCUUUACGUUAGGCAGCUGCUGCAUAUUUUGUCUGAGCUGUUGCUGUGAAGUACGUUUGUCAUAUUGGAAACGCGAUGUUUGAAGCCGGGCUCUUUUGAAGUGGCUGAUGUGGGGCUGUUUUAACUGGAAGGCAAAGGGACGGCGCUCGCCCGUAAUGGGGGAGUAUUCAAAUGACUGACCUCUAGAUGACAGACCCAACCAACUGCGCUAUGAAUAAACAGCAGCUUGAUGUGGUGCUUUACACUGCGCUUUGUUCAGGUGUUGAUAUCAUGUUCCUAUCAUACUGCCUGCUAAAUGACUGAAGGUCACUGGUGUCUGUGCAUAGCCCUGAGAUCCAUUUAGCUAAGAGCUCAACAGUGAAAAGACUGUGAGUGGGAGCACAGAGCCAAUCCCCCUGGCGAGGCGUGUGUAUGUGUGUGUCUUAUAGUGUGGAAACGAUGAUGAGCAGGUUGUCAAUGAGUCCUAAAACCCAUAUGAUGAUAAUUUGCUUAAUAUGUAAGAUUAGUAAUAAAGAAUGAUUCACUUAUCCCAGAGCUGGCAUACAAACGGCACAUUAAAACAAGGCUUCAACCAAAGGAGGGUGAGGGGGGCACUUAUCAUUGAAAGCUUUUAAUCAGGCUUUUCAUAUUGGCCAUUUAUAUCUCUUCACUAUAUAAAGGCUGACGUACAACUGAAUACCACUUUUAUUUCAGCUCAAAGAUUCAGAAUGCUCUUUUCUGAUUUAUUUUUCAAUCAUGGUUUGGACUCUUCGUUUUUUUUCUCUGAUUAUUUAUAAUUACGUUUUCGGUUUUUGUGUGUUUGUGUUGGUUGUUUUUGUGUGUUUCGUAGUUUCAGUGCAGCAGUGGCCGGUGGAUGCAUGGAGACACAGGUUUCCCUGAUCAGGGGCAACGAGAAGCUGCUCUUAAGCUCAAGCUCAGGCUUCUGCGGGCUGCCAGUUCGUGCCAGCCUAACAAGUGGUAUCCAGGUUCUUUAUUGUGUGCUUGUGUACUAUUGUCAAAGUUUUUUCCUGCGCAGUCUGCUUUACUUACCCUGUUUCUCUUUGUCGCCACAGUGAUCUCCAUGCUACCCUCAGCGCCUCCACCUCCAGCCUGCAACCCUUUCACUUUUGGGCAAUCUCAGUUGCUCGAACUCAACAAAACAACUCUGUUUGGAAUAAAACCUGAUCACUCUA